rnacentral:ribozyme from 1 species
AAGAAGACAAUAAUAAAGAGGCCGAUAAUAAAGAAGUAACAAUAACAUCAUCAUGGUGAAUCAUCUUCCGUUUCCUUCUUUCUUUCUUUCAUCAUUUGUCUCUUAUGCUCCCUCCCUCCUUCCUUCAUAAAACGAAACUGAACUGAACGACCACAAUCAUAUCAUACAUAACGACAAUCACACAAUC